GUGACUGGUCGGAUGAAUAUUGGGCAUCGUGUUGAAAAUUCUUCCAAGGUAUAUAUCCCUUCUUUCAUUCCUACAAUCUCCAUUCUUGCUGGUUUUACAAACUUUGAUUCAGAGAUUGGUUGUCGCAUUAAAUCGUGACUGGUCGGAUGACUAUUGGGCAUCGUGUUGAAAAUGAAUUAAUAUACAUGGGAUUAUCAGCACAAAGCCAGAGGCUAAUAGUCUGCGAAGCUAAGAAGGUACUUGGCUACGCGGAGGGUGGAAAAUGAAAUAAAAUAGGGAAACUAUAGUCGGAGACUCGGAGUGGUGCACAACAGAAAAUAGGUUGCAACUUGAACCAGAUGAUUUCCAUUGUCUGCAGCAAUCAUGAACUAUUCAUUUUGGUUCACUGAUUUUCCUAAAAUGUUAUCACUAUUUGCCAGAGCAUUAGAACAAUUACUUUGAAGACAUAUUUAAGAACAUCAGGACUCAACCUCUCCUCAAGCUUAUUAGUACAUAUACAAAUACUAAGGAUUCUAUUCAUUUCAUAUGUGAGUAUUGACUUGUGCAAAUCCACACUUUUUUGCUAGCCAACUUUGCUAUUUCACUUGGAAUCAUGUUAUUUUUGUUGUCAGUCCCAUAAUUGUUAUAUGUAUCGGCAUCAAGUUUAGCCCAUUGUACCUACAUGACGCUAUGAGCUUGCAAAGAUAGAUAUGGAUUGUUUUGCCUCUUCUUACUUCCUAAAAUGAAUUGUACAUAAGUUUGACUCUAAGCACUUGUAACAAAAUUCAUAUCUCAUAUGAUUCUGCUUAUACUUGUACAAAAGUCCAGUACCCAUCCAGAAUCUUACGUCAAUCGGUACUAAUAAGCUCUGAUGUAUUUAACACUUGAUGUUUAUCCAAUUUACUGUAUCACCUCUGAUUUUUGUAUCUCAGUUCAUUUUUUCUCUUUUUUUGCUAAUUAUGAUGUAAGUUUCUGAGAGUGUUGGUUGUGAUGCACCGAUUUCAAAUCAAUAAAAGGAGGUAAUCUAUAAUAACCUUGUGA